GAAAAUUGAAAUUUUAUUAACAUCCAAAUUCAUGUACAAAUUACAUCACUUUCAAAAAUAAAAAUGUUUAUCAUAAAGUUUUACAUCGUUCAAAUGCUUCACUAUUCUAAAAAUUAAAAUGUUCAACAAUAACCCUGGAAUGAUGACAACAAACAUCUAAUCCCAAGCUAACCUCAUCAUCACCUAGAAGAUCAUCAUUCUCACAAGGUAACCUGCACAAUCAAAUUGAAAUCACCCAUCAAAGAGUUUGAAAGAUGGUCAUACGAGCCAUUCACAAACUGCAUCCAUAUCAAUUUACAGAAAAAGAUUAAGUUCUCCUAUCACAUGAAGUCGUCAAAGCUCACAGUUGACCAAAAGAAAUAUCCAACUCCAGAAAAAAGAUUUAAUAUCAGACACAAUUUAUAAGUUUGGUAGGUCUAAAUAAAGCUACAGGUUCCUACAACUGCUAGAAAGCUUUGGUUGUUUAGCUGGUUUAAUACAAUAAAAAUGAGUUUUUUAAAAGAAGUUCAUUAAGCACCACUUUCACAACAUACAACAGAUUAAUGCCAGUUAUAAUCACAAUAUGCAAAUGAAUGAUGAAUGAAAUUACUUCAAAUGGAAGUAGUUGCGUUGUGAAAUGGAAAGUAGAAAGCACAACACCGUUCCCCGUCUCAAUCCUGUUACAAUAGAAAGAAAAAUAAAUUGAAAUCUAACUAAAGAAUACAGAUCCCAGAAAAAAUCCUUCAGUAAGAUUCAACUAUUUAUUGGAACAAAAAGACUUCGAUCAAUGUGUGAGGAUGGGUCACUUGCUUGAGAAAAUAUCACAAUCCAAUUUAAUCAAAUUGUAUGUGGGCAACCAACAAAAUGAGAAUGCAAAGCUGUCUACAGAAGAGGAGCUAAGAAAAUUUUGCAACCUUACUAAUGCUAGGCAGGUACCAAGGCAUCAAAGAAACGGGUCAAAUAUCAUUUAAUUAUUUGCCUGAACAUGGUGGUCAAUAUCCAAGCAUUUCAGUGCCAGAAAUGUAACUUAAGCAGUAUUUUUUGACCGAACGAAGAAAGAAGAAGAUCGACGGAGAAAUUUCAGAGAAGAUAGAAGUACAGAGAGAGAGAGAGAG
rnacentral:lncRNA from 1 species